AUUCCUGGUUGCCUUUUAUUAGGGAAGGAAGAAGCUGGUUUCUCUCUUGGACUUUGGAGAAUCAAGCUGGAGGCGGCCUGGUGACUUUGAAGGCUGUAUGGGACAACUUAACAGUAAAAAAAUAAGGUGUUAAGCUACAAACUACAGAAAUGGAAAGCCUGGACCAAAAUGUACUCUGGGGUAAAACCAGAGAAGAGAGGGAGAAGGAAAACCAGUGUACAGAUUCUGAGGAAAUGGAGGUCUCCUUCACUCAGCUUUCCAAAGCAAGCAGGACCAAAGAGACAGAAGUAACAAGAUGGGAGAGCCCUAAGGGAUGCUGCAGUCUGCUCAAACUGGCUUGGAAGAGCUGAUUAUUAAACUUUUAGUGCAAACACAUCUAAAAAUUCAGCAAAUGCUGCAAAUUGAGGCUCAAUGAUUUGUUUUAUUGAUAGAAUUUCAGAAAGUAAUGGAGAAAAUGUCAAUAUAUUAAACGGAUACCAUGUAUACAUUUUUUGAGAAUCAAUUGUUAAACUUUAUCAGCAUGCCACUCUGCACAAUUAAAUACUCCUUGAGCAAACUG